AAAUGAGGUAAUAAUGCAUUAAAUCCACCAAGAGAUAAAAAAAAUCUGUCAAAAUUUAGGGGACCAUUACCCCUAAUCAACCCUUUGGAAUGCCUCAAUUGAUGUGAAUCACCCUGUAGAUCUGAUUAUAAAUAAUAUUGGAAAUUUUUGGGUCAUUCCAACCUUUCAUUUCAGUCUUCAUCACAGUCUUUUUGAACUGUUCUUAAAAAAUUCCUACAAUUUGUAAGAGCUAUUGAUAAGAUCUCGCAAUGUUUGAAAUACUUGAUUAAUAAUUAUUAAUGUUUCCACUUUAUUAUUAUCAACGAAAACACUGACUUUGAACACUUAAUCUUUCAUGAUAUGACCUCGUGUAAAUUUCUAUAAAAAUAGGAUGUAUAAAAAUAUAAUAUCUUUUUUGAUAAGUGGUUUAGAUUUAAUUGUUAUUAGAUAAACACGCUUUUAUUUGCCCACUAUUGUAAAAAUCCAUCUAAAAAUGAAACACCAUAACAACCUGUUUCCGAAAGUAAUUUUAAAUGUCAAAGAGAAUUUCUACGAUUAAUUAACCCCAUUAUCUCAACUCUAUAAAACCUAGCUUUGUAGCGAAAUGAUAUCGAGUCUAUUUACUAAUAAAUUCUUCUAUAAUGUACUGGCUCACAUUAAUCUGUAUGGUUAUCGCCAUAAAAUAUUCAUUAACCGAAAAUAAGUUUAUGAAUUCGGUCAGAAACUUAACAAAUACAAAUAAUCAUACUCGAGAAAAUGAUGGCAUUCGAAAAAAAUUGGAAAAAUAUAUGAACGAGUGUAAAGGCGAAAAUGAUAAAGAUUACUCUUAUGAGCAAACAUCUUCGUCAACUGAUUUACGCGGAUAUAGAAGAGGUGCAGAUGGAGCAACAUAUCCCGCUUUUUACGGAAAUAAUCAGAAUAAUAUGCGCAACUUUCAUAGAAAAGAUAAUAACAGACACGUUGAUGGGUAUUUAUUAAAUUUAAGACAAAACAAUGAAUGUGACAACACAGAGACAAGUUCAAACGCCAACAAUGGGAGAUCAAAUAACCGCUUUAAUGUGCAAGAUAAUAACAGAAAUUUUUAUAAUAAUCAAAAUCGAAACAAUCCCUCCAAUCAAGAUUAUGAUAGGACAAACAGAAAUUUCGGCGAUCAAUUUCCAAGAUGGAAAAGAGAUUUCAACGAUAAAUGUGUAAGCCAAUGCAUCUUUAGCUAUUUAGAAUUGGUCACCUUCAGAAACAGCAUUCGUCCAAUUUCUUCAAGAAAACACUCCAAAUGAUCGCGAUAGAAUUAAAAUAGUGCGCGAAGCUAGAAGAUGUUUUUCUAAAUUUGUAACUACAGAGGAAGAAGAUGGAUGUGAGUUUUCGAGAUCGCUCAAUAAAUGUCUGCAUUGGAAUUUGGAGUAAAUCUCUAGAUGAAAUAAUGAUUUGGAAAUGAAAAAAUUAUAGAUAUGACACGGCACUCUUAAAUCUUAAACACCCAUUAAAGUGUUGCUAUAUAUGCUAUUCAUAGUUUAUUUGUAGAAUUGUGUGUUAAAACACUUUCAGUAAAUGUUAUUAGCAUCCUUUA
rnacentral:misc_RNA from 1 species